AAAAGAAAAAAAAAAUGUAACUUCCUCUUUUCCCCAAUUUUCUGUGAUAUGCUGUUUCUUAUUCAGCUUCUACUGGAUUUUUCUGUAGGAUAUACCUGAUAUUGAUGGGGACAAGAUUUUUGGCAUCCAAUCUUUUAGUGUUCGUCUGGGUCAAAAGCGGGUAUUUUGGAUUUGUAUAUACCUCCUCGAGAUGGCUUAUGUGGUGGCUGUGUUUGUUGGAGCUGCAUCAUCCUUCCUUUGGAGCAAACUCUUAACAGUUCUGGGUCAUGUCAUUUUGGCUUCCAUUCUCUGGGACCGUGCCAAAUCUCUUGAUCUGAAUAGCAAAGCUGCUAUAACAUCCUUUUAUAUGUUUAUUUGGAAGCUCUUUUAUGUGGAGUACUUGCUCAUUCCAUUGGUGAGGUGAAGAUAACAUAUGGAGAUGACGACCAGAAAUGGAU